UGGUCCUGUAAAAAACAUUGUACAUGGACGAGUCAUCCUUGACAAAACAAAAACGUCGACAUAUGGAGCAACAGCGACAGUAAAAUGUAGCCCUGGUUAUAGAGCAAAUCAAAAGAAAAUAGUUUGUUUAGAUACCGGAAAAUGGGAAACAGCAAGAUGCAAACUCAAAGACUGUGGUCCUGUUAAAAAAAUUGUAAAUGGAAAGGUCACCCUUGACAAAGCAAAAACGUCGAAGGUGGGAGCAACAGCGACUUUAAAAUGUAGCCCUGGCUUUAGACCAAAUCAAGAGAAAAUAAGUUGUUCAGAUAACGGGAAAUGGGAAGAAGCAAGAUGCAAAAUCAUAGACUGUGGGUCUCCAUUGAAUGUGACCAAUGGUAAUUUGCAAUAUAUUGCAACAACGUUUGAAUCAACCGCUUCUCUUGUCUGUGAUAGAGGAUAUGAUGGAAACGGGACAAUAAGCUGUCUUGACACAGGCAGUUGGGAAACACCACCAAGAUGUUCUA